rnacentral:rRNA from 1 species
GUCUAUUGUCAUAUCACCCUAAACCUGCUGGAUCACAUCAGAUCUAGGAGGUCAAGUAGGGACAGGCCUGGUUAGUACUUGAAUAAGAGAACAAGCAAGACU